rnacentral:rRNA from 1 species
GGUUACCUCAGGUCAGAGAAGACUACCCGCUGGACUUAAGCAUAUCACUAAGCGGAGGAAAAGAAACUAACUAGGAUUCCCCCAGUAACUGCGAGUGAAGAGGGAAGAGCUCAUCAUUGGAAUCUGGCGGUGUUGCACCGUCCGAGUUGUAGAUGAGGAGUGGUUCAUCUGGACUGCAUGGCGUCCAAGUACAAUAGGCCGUCAGUGGGACAUCAUAGAGGGUGACAAUCCCGUCCUUGAUGCCAAUGUGCAAGUCCAUUACGAUGGCCAUCUCAGAGAGUCGAGCAGUUUGGGAUUUGCUGCUUAAACAUGGGAGGUAGAUUCCUUCUAAAGCUAAAUACAGGCAAGAGACCGAUAGAGAACAAGUACCGCAAGGGAAAGAUGAAAUAGCACUCUGUGAAGGGAGUCAAAAGGCGUGAAAUUGUUGCGAGAGAAGCGAUUCAAGUCAGCGUAGCUAGGCCCAUUAAGCCUCUUUGCGCUUUGGACUAGCUUUGCCAGCGGUCUUGUCCUUAGAGACUUGACUUGUAUGUCCAGCCUGGUAUGCACAGGUAGCCCUCCGGGGUCAGUGACAUGGCUGGUGGAAUGGCUUGCAAUCGACCCGUCUUGAAACACGGACCAAGGAGUCUAACAUGUAUGCGAGUAUAAGGGUGGCAAACCCGUAUGCGCAAUGAAAGUAAUUUUCGGUGAUUGAGAAUGGCCUGAUGACCAGACAAGCAAUAUAUGUCCCUCGUACGGCCAUUGCCCAAGUUCCGUGGUAGAUCCCACGAACAUGGAGUUGGAGCAUACAUGCUAGGACCCGAAAGAUGGUGAACUAUGCCUGGACAAAGCGAAGCCAAAGGAAACUCUGGUGGAGGCUUGUAGCGGAUUCUGACGUGCAAAUCGAUCGU